rnacentral:rRNA from 1 species
AAGAUUAAGCCAUGCAUGUCUAAGUAUAAGCAAUUUAUACAGUGAAACUGCGAAUGGCUCAUUAAAUCAGUUAUCGUUUAUUUGAUAGUUCCUUUACUACAUGGUAUAACUGUGGUAAUUCUAGAGCUAAUACAUGCUUAAAAUCUCGACCCUUUGGAAGAGAUGUAUUUAUUAGAUAAAAACCAAUGCGGAGCAAUCCGGUUUUUGGUGAAUCAUAAUAACUUAACGGAUCGCAU